CAGCUGUGUUAGGGCUAGCUCCUUGCCUCUGUUUGACUUUGCUCCUGGGAUCAGAGCAGGGCUUUGGAGAGUCCUACGCAGAGAUCAUCAUCCAAGGACAUGUUAUCGAAGGAUCUCCAUCUCCCAAAGUUUAAAACAACUCAAGAAAGGGCCCAGGAAGAAGUGAAAUCCUCUCCAGAAGGGUCAUUUGAAAGAGCGUGUUUCCAUAACACUGCAUUGUUACAGCAUCACAAGGAUUUGUCUCCUCUUCUGGCUCCAGCAUGCGUAUUCCUGGCUCCCAUGGAGGCACUGUGGACAGCCCAUGCCAUAUAACAUGCCAAAAACAUGACCUCCCCAUGAACUUCAGGCCAUAUUUUCAAGUCUGCGCCCAGCUCCUUGCAGGCAGGGCUGUCUGGCCAAUGCAUUCUGGCCCUUUUGCAUGGAAAAUGAGCUGUGUCAGCCUUCAUGGCCCGCUGACUUGCCAGCUGUGUCCCUAACAGCACUUUGCAACCUCCUCCCUCCAUGCUCAACAUGUUGCCUUCACCCAGCACGUGGGACAGCAACGAGGGAACUGUGAGCUCGUCCUCGGUGGCUGGGGCCCAGCUGGCCACCCCCCAUCUCCCCACUGCAGCCACCACACACUCCUCAAUGCAGCAGAACUCAAUGUACGGCCUUUUUUUUUUUUUUUUUUUUUCUUUUCUUCCUUGGUUUUCCUGUUUCCAGAACAGUUGAAUAUUUUAUUUGCAUCGUGCCCCAGUUCCCCAGUUUCCAGCACGCAGAACAGGGCGAUCUGUACCCGUCUCUUGCAGCAGCUGGUGCUUGCUUCCCUGGCAAAGCUCCAGUUAAUGCUUUCUCCCCCAGCCUAAGGCACUUUAUGAU